AAAGAUUAAGCCAAGCAUGUCUAAGUAUAAGCAAUCUAUACGGUGAAACUGCGAAUGGCUCAUUAAAUCAGUUAUCGUUUAUUUGAUAGUACCUAACCUACUUGGAUAACCGUGGUAAUUCUAGAGCUAAUACAUGCUAAAAACCUCGACUUCGGAAGGGGUGUAUUUAUUAGAUAAAAAACCAAUGCCCUUCGGGGCUCCUUGGUGAUUCAUAAUAACUCAACGAAUCGCAUGGCCUUGCGCCGGCGAUGGUUCAUUCAAAUUUCUGCCCUAUCAACUUUCGAUGGUAGGAUAGUGGCCUACCAUGGUGUUAACGGGUAACGGGGAAUUAGGGUUCUAUUCCGGAGAGGGAGCCUGAGAAACGGCUACCACAUCCAAGGAAGGCAGCAGGCGCGCAAAUUACCCAAUCCCGACACGGGGAGGUAGUGACAAUAAAUACCGAUACAGGGCCCUUUCGGGUCUUGUAAUUGGAAUGAGUACAAUUAAAUCCAUAAACGAGAUAAAGA
rnacentral:rRNA from 1 species